GACGAACGCUGGCGGCGUGCUUAACACAUGCAAGUCGAACGCUGAAGCACCAGCUUGCUGGUGGGGAUGAGUGGCGAACGGGUGAGUAAUACGUGAGUAACCUGCCCUUGACUCUGGGAUAAGCCCGGGAAACUGGGUCUAAUACUGGAUGCUACAUGUCACCGCAUGGUGGUGUGUGGAAAGGGUUUACUGGUCUUGGAUGGGCUCACGGCCUAUCAGCUUGUUGGUGAGGUAAUGGCUCACCAAGGCGACGACGGGUAGCCGGCCUGAGAGGGUGACCGGCCACACUGGGACUGAGACACGGCCCAGACUCCUACGGGAGGCAGCAGUGGGGAAUAUUGCACAAUGGGCGAAAGCCUGAUGCAGCGACGCCGCGUGAGGGAUGACGGCCUUCGGGUUGUAAACCUCUUUCAGCAGGGAAGAAGCCACAAGUGACAGUACCUGCAGAAGAAGCGCCGGCUAACUACGUG
rnacentral:rRNA from 1 species